GGAGAGGUGGCGAGUGGUCGAAUGCACCGCACUCGAAAUGCGGCAUACCUGCAAGGGUAUCGUGGGUUCGAAUCCCACCCUCUCCGCCA
rnacentral:tRNA from 2 species